rnacentral:rRNA from 1 species
GAUGAACGCUGGCGGCGUGCCUAAUACAUGCAAGUCGAGCGAACAGACGAGGAGCUUGCUCCUCUGACGUUAGCGGCGGACGGGUGAGUAACACGUGGAUAACCUACCUAUAAGACUGGGAUAACUUCGGGAAACCGGAGCUAAUACCGGAUAAUAUAUUGAACCGCAUGGUUCAAUAGUGAAAGACGGUUUUGCUGUCACUUAUAGAUGGAUCCGCGCCGCAUUAGCUAGUUGGUAAGGUAACGGCUUACCAAGGCAACGAUGCGUAGCCGACCUGAGAGGGUGAUCGGCCACACUGGAACUGAGACACGGUCCAGACUCCUACGGGAGGCAGCAGUAGGGAAUCUUCCGCAAUGGGCGAAAGCCUGACGGAGCAACGCCGCGUGAGUGAUGAUGGUCUUCGGAUCGUAAAACUCUGUUAUUAGGGAAGAACAAAUGUGUAAGUAACUAUGCACGUCUUGACGGUACCUAAUCAGAAAGCCACGGCUAACUACGUG